rnacentral:rRNA from 1 species
UACGUAGGUGGCGAGCGUUGUCCGGAUUUACUGGGCGUAAAGGGCGUGCAGGCGGUUUGUUAAGUGCAGAGUGAAAGCUCCCGGCUCAACUGGGAGAGGUCUUUGCAUACUGGCAAACUCGAGGGAGGCAGAGGAAAGUGGAAUUCCCGGUGUAGUGGUGAUAUGCGUAGAUAUCGGGAGGAACACCGGUGGCGAAGGCGGCAUCCUGGACCGACACUGACACUGAGGAGCGAAAGCCAGGGGAGCAAACGGG